GAUGAACGCUAGCGGGAGGCCUAACACAUGCAAGCCGAGCGGUCUUGUUUCUUCCUUAAUGAGAGAACGUCGUACGGGGGCGGAACACGAGUGCAACCUGCCUUUAUCUGUGGGACAGCCUUUCGAAAGGAAGAUUAAUACUCCAUACCAUAUUGAUCUUCAUCCUUCGAUAUUAAUAGCUCCGGCGGGUAGUGCUGGGGCCGCUACAGAUUAGCUAGUCGGUGAGGUCAGGGCGCACCAAGGCGAUGAUCUUUAGGGGGCCUGAGGGGGUGAUCCCCCACACUGGUACUGAGACCCGGACCAGACUCCUACGGGAGGCAGCAGUGAGGAAUAUUGGUCAAUGGGUGCAAGCCUGAACCAGCCAUCCCGCGUGAAGGACGACUGCCCUCUGGGUUGUAAACUUCUUUUGUAUAGGGAUAAACCUGCCAUCGUGAGGGUAGCUGAAGGUACUAUACGAAUAAGCACCGGCUAACUCCGUG
rnacentral:rRNA from 1 species